rnacentral:lncRNA from 1 species
UUAUAGAGAUUCUACUUCAUGUAAGCUAAUUAUGGUUUUUUCCUUUUAGAGGUAAAAAAGUUCAUACAAUACAUGUUAUUACUGUAACAAGUAUAAUGAGGGCACGCAGUAGCUGGAAGCUGCUUCUUUAUCCAUCAGCCAAGGCGUAAGUAAGGCUGGACCUGAAUUCAAGAGAACUUAUAUCUACUUUUGUCUCUUCUGCCAGUCUUCAGGUAUCACUCAAACUACUGGAAACAAGCGUCUCUGAAUCUUAUUUAGCCUUAAUAGAAGUGCUGCUGCAAAGAACGAAGGCAACUCAGAAUCAGUGGACAGACAAUAGAGUUUCAGGCAGAGCAGGUACAGCAGAAGCAUUAUUUCAUUCCUUUGUACAUCGUAUGAUGCAUUUUCUUUUUAGCAUCUUUCCUGAAAUAUUUAUUUGCUGUUAUGUUUCUCCAGAGAACAGUCUACAGUAAAUUCCCAGAAUAACCAGAAGCUUUUGUUUGAAAAAUAUUUUUUCCCUCUUU